rnacentral:rRNA from 1 species
GAUGAACGCUGGCGGCGUGCCUAAUACAUGCAAGUCGAACGCUGGAAAUCUAGCUUGCUAGAUUGAAGGAGUGGCGAACGGGUGAGUAAUACAUAAGCAACCUACCCACGAAGACUGGGAUAAUCUCUGGAAACGGGGACUAAUACCGGAUAGGUAAUCGGAAGGCAUCUUCUGAUUAUUAAAGGUUAAAAACACUGGUGGAUGGGCUUAUGGCGCAUUAGUUAGUUGGUGAGGUAACGGCCCACCAAGACGAUGAUGCGUAGCCGGCCUGAGAGGGUGAACGGCCACAUUGGGACUGAGACACGGCCCAGACUCCUACGGGAGGCAGCAGUAGGGAAUUUUCGGCAAUGGGGGAAACCCUGACCGAGCAACGCCGCGUGAGUGAUGACGGCCUUCGGGUUGUAAAGCUCUGUUGUAAGGGAAGAACGGUAGAUAGAGAUUAUCUAAAUGACGGUACCUUACCAGAAAGCCACGGCUAACUACGUG